rnacentral:rRNA from 1 species
GACGAACGCUGGCGGCGUGCCUAAUACAUGCAAGUUGAGCGCUGAAGGGUGGUACUUGUACCAACUGGAUGAGCAGCGGACGGGUGAGUAACGCGUGGGUAAUCUACCUUUGAGCGGGGGACAACUUCGGGAAACGAAUGCUAAUACCGCAUAAAAACUUUAAACACAAGUUUUAAGUUUGAAAGAUGCAAUUGCAUCACUCAAAGAUGAUACCGCGUUGUCUUAGCCAAGUUGUGAAGUAAAGGCCCUACAAGGGGAAGGUACAUAGCCCGCCUGAGAGGGUGAUCGGCCACAAUGGGACUGAGACCCCGCCCAAACUCCCACCGGAAGCAGCAGUUGGGAAUCUUCCGCCAUGGACGGAAGUCUGGCCGGACAAAGCCGCCUGAGUGAAGAAGGUUUUCCGAUCGUAAAACCUUUUUGAUAAGGGAGAACCAUGUUUGUAGUUGACAACUCACCACUUGACGGUAACUAACCAGAAAGCCACGGCUAACUACGUG